rnacentral:rRNA from 1 species
GAUGAACGCUGGCGGCGUGCCUAAUACAUGCAAGUCGAGCGAACAGACGAGGAGCUUGCUCCUUCGACGUUAGCGGCGGACGGGUGAGUAACACGUAGGUAACCUACCUAUAAGACUGGGAUAACUUCGGGAAACCGGAGCUAAUACCGGAUAAUAUUUCGAACCGCAUGGUUCGAUAGUGAAAGAUGGCUUUGCUAUCACUUAUAGAUGGACCUGCGCCGUAUUAGCUAGUUGGUAAGGUAACGGCUUACCAAGGCAGCGAUACGUAGCCGACCUGAGAGGGUGAUCGGCCACACUGGAACUGAGACUCGGUCGAGACUCCUACGGGAGGCAGCAGUAGGGAAUCUUCCGCGAUGGGGGAAAGCCUGACGGAGCAACGCCGCGUGAGUGAUGAAGGUCUUCGGAUCGUAAAACUCUGUUAUUAGGGAAGAACAAACGUGUAAGUAACUGUGCACGUCUUGACGGUACCUAAUCAGAAAGCCACGGCUAACUACGUG